rnacentral:rRNA from 1 species
UAAGGAAUAUUGGUCAAUGGGCGGAAGCCUGAACCAGCCAUGCCGCGUGCAGGAAGACGGUGCUCUGCAUUGUAAACUGCUUUUAUACCAGAAUAACCUCCCGGUCGAGCACCGGGACUGCAAGUAUGGUAAGAAUAAGGAUCGGCUAACUCCGUGCCAGCAGCCGCGGUAAUACGGAGGAUCCGAGCGUUAUCCGGAUUUAUUGGGUUUAAAGGGUGCGUAGGCGGCCUGAUAAGUCAGGGGUGAAAGACGGUGGCUCAACCAUCGCAGUGCCCUUGAUACUGUCGGGCUGGAUUGAACUUGAGGUAGGCGGAAUGUGACAAGUAGCGGUGAAAUGCAUAGAUAUGUCACAGAACACCGAUUGCGAAGGCAGCUUACUAAGGUUUUAAUGACGCUGAGGCACGAAAGCGUGGGGAUCAAACAGG